rnacentral:lncRNA from 1 species
GCGGUCUACCCAAGGAAACUGAGUGAGUUGAUCUGCACAAACCUCCUUACUAACAUUAGGAAACCUUCUGAUUUUGUGUACAGAUCUCUGCCUCCUAAGACUGGCAGCCUUGGUCCCAAAUAUUGGUAGAAAAUUGAGUUGGAAAAGCUUUCGGCAAAACCUUUCACAUAGUCAGGUAACCAAACUGCAAAUGCUAGCUCCUGGCCCAAAAGGCAGAGUUACAUGCAUCUCUCCUGAAGUUCCAGGCACUUGCUGGAUUUCUCUGUCAGGCAGGGGCUGACUGCAGCUCAGCCUCCUGUGUCUCCAGCCCCCAAGUCUGGAUCAAAAAGGCCUCCAUUCCAGCCAACCAAUCACACUUCCUCUUUCAUAUCUUGCUCCAUUGCACAUGCAUAAACACCUUUUCUCUCUCACCAGGAACAACAGAAAUGACAGAAGCCAGAAUCCACAACAUUAGGGGAAAACACGUGAAAGUCAACUCAGUCCAACGCCUCGAUCAGCAAGAGAUGCUAAGAAGAGUUGUUGGUGCCUCCAGGAUAUGUGUACCAAAAUGACAAGAUGACG